rfam:Felis catus isolate Cinnamon breed Abyssinian chromosome F2, whole genome shotgun sequence.
GCCUGGGUGGCUCAGUAGGUUAAGCAUCUGACUUCAGCUCAGGUCAUGACCUUGCAGUUCGUGAGUUUGAGCCCCACUCUGGGCU